AUGGUCGCGCCGGAGCUCUUGAUGGCCGACACCACGUCUUGGGCUGUGUCCGGUGAGCUGGUGAGGCCGACCAGGACGUUGAGCAGCUUGCACUCGACGGCGGGGCCGGUGUUGCUGAUGAGAUGGAGCAGGCUGUGCACCACGUCCUCGGACAGGAGCGUCUGCCUGCCGGCGUCGUCGAGCGGGAUUGAGCGGAAGCUGGCCCCAGAGGCGACCAGGUUGGCGAGGAUGGUGGCGGAGACCUCCUUGAGCCUCAUGGGGAAGUGGCUGCUGGCGCCGACGGAGAAGAGGUCCUUGACCAGCGGCGGCAGGAUGCCGGCCUGCAGCAGUAUCUUGGCGCUCAGCUCGUUGGAUGACAUCUCCCUCAUCGCCUUGAGCGUCGCCUCCCUCGCCGGCAGGCCGCCGGUUUUGAUGAUGCUCACCAGCAGCGUUCCAACCUGCUCUGCCACCACCACCUUCACAUCGUUAGCCAAUGCCAGCUCCCCGAGGUACUCAACCAUGGUAACCUGCACCUCAGGCCCGCCU
rnacentral:rRNA from 1 species